rnacentral:rRNA from 1 species
UACGUAGGCAGCGAGCGUUGUUCGGAGUUACUGGGCGUAAAGCGUGCGUAGGCGGUUUGUUAAGUCGGGUGUGGAAGCCCUCAGCUCAACUGAGGAAGGGCGCCCGAAACUGGCGAGCUUGAGUGUCGGAGAGGAUGGCGGAAUACCCCAAGUAGAGGUGAAAUUCGUAGAUAUGGGGUGGAACACCGGUGGCGAAGGCGGCCAUCUGGACGACAACUGACGCUGAGACGCGAAAGCGUGGGGAGCAAACAGG